UCCUUUAGCCUUGGUUUGGUUGGGAAUUAAGGGGUGGAAUAACCCCUUAACCCUCAUAUUAUCUUCAAACACCCCAAAAAUGGGUGGGGUUAGUUAAUCCCACCUCAAAUGGGCUAUCCGGAUUAGCUAACCCACCUAAUCCCACCAAAUCCUAAUCAAAUACUAUUUUCUAUUCAUAAUAACCCACUAUACUUAUUAUCCUACCUAUUCCAACUAAAUAUUAAUUUUUACUAUCCUGAACUAACUCCAAUCCCCAACAAAAUACAAAAAUACUCUAACCCCACUUUAAUCCUGAACUUAAUCAUAUUCCUGUAAUAACUAGUUUUUCCUUAACUCCGAACCAAACGGUAGCUUAUCGCAUUUUACAUUGAAAUUUUUACACUCACUUGAGUUAUAAUCUUCUCUUUAUUUAGAAAUUGGACUGUGAAAUUAAAGAUAUGAGAUUGAAGGACAAAGAUGGAUGCAAGUAAUUAUUAGGCUUAAUUACAGAAGUCUCCCUUGCACUUUAGGCCAUGUCUCAUUUGCCCCUUUGCAUUAAAAAUUGUGUGAAUUAUCAAAUGAAAAAAUUAUUAUCCUUUAAAAGUUUAAAUUAGCAGAGAAUGAUAUUUUAUACUUUAUAUUUAACACUUUUUUUCACGUCCGGACUUAAAAUUUUUUUGAUAGGCCCAAAAUGUGAACUUGAAAUAAAUGGAAGGAACUUAGUAAUGCUUAUAGUCUAGAGGACCUUCUGCUACUCAGAAUCUCCUACUCUAAUACCAUAUUAAAUUAUAUAAAAUAAUCGUUUUUUUCCAAAAACUUUAGCUUAUAGCGAAUGACGUUUUUAUAUUUUUAUAUUUAACAUGCUAAUUAAAGCGGGUUUUAGUGCAGAAGGAUAGUAGAGACAGGCACUGAAGUGCACGUAAUUUAGCCCAAAACGCAUCACUCCCAAAAAAGACCAAAAAGAAGAAAAAUCUUAUGUAGGAAAAAUAUGGAAUCAUCAGAAAGUUUGGUUUAAUCUGUAGAAUCAUUUUACUCGGAAUCUCCUAAAGAGCGCGAAUGGUAGGGAUACCAACAGGUCGGAUUUGGGGCGGAUUUUCAAAAAUUCGAAUUUGAACCUGACUACCAAACUCGAAAUCCGAACCUGAAUCUGAACCCAAAUCCGACUGAUUUUAAAAAUCCAUAUCCAAACCUGAAUUUGACCAAAAAUGUGAAAUCCAAACCCGAAAAUCCGAACCUGAAAUAAUUAUUUUUUUUUACAAUAUUUCAAAAUAUAUUAUAUAAAUUUUAAAAACACAAAUUCAAAUAUAACAUCAAAUAUUUCUAUAUAUAUUAUAAAAAUAAUUUCAGAUUUGGGUCGGGUACAAUCGAAAUCCAUAUCUGAAUCUAAAUUUAUCGGGUUUUCAUUUUUGAUAUCCAUAUUUGAAACUAUAUCCAUUUAGCAUCAGGUAAAUCAACUCCGUUCGGAUUCGGAUUCAGCUAAAAUUUUGGGUAUCCGUAUCCAUGGACAUCCCUAGCAAAUAGUGCUGUUUCUUCUGGAGAGUUGCUUUCUUUAAUAUUGUUCAUUAAGCUGACACAGAAUAUGUACAGAAUCCUCAACAUUGUGGCAAUUAGAAAGCCCAUUUGAUGUAAUUAGCUAGCUAGGUAUAACUCUCAUAUUUUACUUUAGGGUUAUCAUUCUUCAUACAUGCUCCUUUUUUUUUCCUAAUUUAGAUAUCUGUUUGCAAAAAUUAAACUCAUCGACAGAAACUUUAGUGUCGAAAUGAAGAAAUUAAAAUAAGAACCCUCAAGCUGACGUGGGCUCAUACUUUUUUAGUCGGCUCAUGACGUGGGCUUGAAUUAAAUGGGAGAAAAUUAAUAUGCUAGAAGCUUGGUGUGAUUCAAACUCAAUGCCUCAUACUCUGAUACCAUGUGAAACAACCGUUGUAUUCUAAAAGCUUAAGCUGUUAGAAAAUAGUGUUUAAAUAUUUUUAUAUUUAAUAAGAAUCGAUCUUACUUUUUUGAUAAGACAGAUUUCUUAUUAUUUCUAUUCAUUGGACGGCUAAAAUUUGGCGUCAACAAUACCUAAUUUAAUAAAAAAUACUUUUCAUUUCAAACUUAACUAUCAAUCUUUGUUACACU
rnacentral:lncRNA from 1 species